CACUCACUGCUUCACUGCCCAUGCUCUUCACACUCCUCAUUCUUAAUCAUUAAAUCUCAAGCAAGAGCAUUAAUUUCCCAUUUCAAUUCCAUUUUUCAAAUUCAUUUUUCAUACCAAUCAUAUUUUCGGUUACAAUUUCUCAGCCAAACCUUCGUUUCUGUGUGUAAUUUUUCUAAAAUCCACAAUCAAAAACCUCUGCUUCCUUUCAAUUUCGAAUUGUUCUUCUGCGCAAUCUUCUUCUUUUACCGUUUGAAAUUCUCAGGUUGUCAUCUGCCUUGGUCCUGGAAAUUUCCGGAAGCUGAGAUUUGAUGAGCUUGUGGCAGUGAUUGUAGGGAAGGUUUAACGCAUGAAGAAACUAUUCUUUUUCACAUCUUCUGCGUCUAGUAGUGGAAAUAACAACAAUGCAACUCCGCCGAAAUCAACAAAUAAGCAAAAGGCAUGGGAUAGUGUUUCCGAGAUUGGAAUGAACAAUCAAGCUUACGAUCUUAGAAGGAGCAGGUCACUGUCGUCAUCUGCUUGCCAGUUCAGAGAUCCAACGAGGUCUUCUUCAAGUAGCAUUGUUAGUGAUCCAUAUCAUCAAUUUGAGCGUUCAUCUCGUUGUCAGGCUCCUAACUAUGAGAAACAAAAGCGAGACACGACAGCCCAAGUUUCUUCUGUCCAGAAUUCGCACGGAUAUGAGAGACCUGGGUCUACCAGUUCUUCAAGAUCCCAUCACGAGUCAUAUGGGAACUCAUUCCAGCAACAUUUCAAGUUGGUUACAUACCUCACAAUCUCUUUUGCAAACAAUUAUUCGGACAUAUCCUCAGAAAUCUGAUCCGUGAGGUAACUGCCUUUCUCCUAGAUUUUCUGUAUCCACAGUCACUUGUUAAAUUUUUGAUGAACAACAAAUAAGGCAUAUGGCCUAGUGCGCUACGCAUAGGAUAUAGUGCAUAGGGAAUAAGGUAUAGUGGACAACAUAGAGGACAUAUGGCAUAGGGCAUAGGGUAUGAGGCAUAGGUAAGGCUUAGAUCAAAGUAAGGGUAGAAUUUAGGGUUUAAUGUACUAGGACUUACCACCUAGGCCAUAAAGCUUAGGACUUGCUACAGAAUAUUGCAAACAAUUGUGCAUUGAUGCCUGCAUAUGGAUUUUUGAGCAAUUCAGGUCAUAUGAAUGACUGUAAUUUUUUUUUCUUGGAUCAUAUUUGAGCUCCAGGUAAUUAUUUAACUUUUUGUAACGGUUUUGUCUGGUGGACAAUGUAUGCCUUCUGUAAAGGGGACAAGCUUGGAUGCAGUGAGGAACUAGGAGAUCUUGUAAAGUCACUUGUUGAAUUUUUUGGCAAUCUAUCAGGAGAAUGGGCACUAGAGAGCAUGAAAGACUUAUUGUUGUUGAAACUCAGAGGCAACCUACAAAUUACUGUGCAGGUUGCUAAAGAAUGUUGUGAACAGUUGGGCAUUGAUGCUUGCAUAAGGAUUUUUUAGCAAUUCAGGUCAUAUGAAGGGCUGUCAUUUUUCAUGGGAUCAUAUUUAAGCUCCAGGUAAUUAUUUCAUUUUUAUUUAACUGAUUUUUUUUGGUGGACAAUGGAUGCCUUCUGUAAGGGGGAGAAGUUUGAAUGCAGUGAGGAACUAGGAGAUCUUGUAAAGACUGUGGACAAUGAUCUGACUUUAGAAAUAGACAUCAAAGCCAGAGCUACUCCAAAAGUUGUUGUUGGUUUUGUUGAGAGAAGAGAAUUUGACAAGAUUCUAAUAUACUCUAAGCAGGUUGGCUACACACCUGACUAUCUCUUCCUUCUGCAAACAAUUCUCCAGUCAGAUCCUCAACUUUUUGUGGCUGAUGAUUUUUCUGACUAUCUCUUCCUUUAACAAAUAACUCUCCGGACAGAUCCUCAAGUAUGAAAAUGCACUAUUCAGGCCUUCUGUAAAAGUGACAAGCUUGAAUGCAAUGUGGAACUAGGAGAUCUUGUAAGGACUAUGGAUAAUGAUCUUGUUUUAAAAAUAUACAUCAAAGCCCGAGCUUCUCUAAAAUUGUUGUUGCUUUUGCUGAGAGAAGGGAAUUUGACAAGAUUCUAAUAUACUCUAAGCAGAGAAAUCUUAUCCGUGAAGCAACUCUCUUUCUCCUAGAUGUUCUGAAACAACAGUUACUUGUUGAAUUUUUGGCAGUCUAUCAUGAGAAUGGGCAUUAGAGUGUAUGAAAGACUUUUUGCUGGUCAAUCUUAGAAGCAACCAAUAGAAUAUUUUGCAUGCCUUCUGGAAAAGGGACAAUGGAGUGAGGAACUAGGAGAUCUUGUAACGGACUACACUUCGAGUUAGAAAUCUCAUCCCUACAAGUGUUAGUGGAAACCAGUUAGAAGAAGCAGAUGGAGUUCAAAACCGGUUUGAUAAGCUCAAUCUCAUUGAAAAAAAAGAUUGACCGCAACAUGCCAUGGGCAACUAUACCAGCAAAGGGAAUUCCAAGAAGGUGAAUUGGUCCUAAAAAAGAUUUUGCCAAUACUAAAGGAUCAUAGGGGCAAGUGGACUCCAAAUUAUGAAGGUCCGUAUGUAGUAAAGAAGACUUUUGGUGGUGGUGCACUUAUUCUCACCAGAAUGGAUGGAGAGGGGUUACCUUUGCGAGUUAAUUCUGGCACAGUCAAAAAAUUCUAAUGAUUCCAUGAUAGGGAAUGCUUUUAAAGUGGAAUUGACAAUAUUAUAUUGUUUUAUUCAAUAAAUCUUUUUUCAUCUCUUUCAUAAGGUCGUUCUUAACUUUCAAAAUGCCUCUCAAAAAUAAUAAACAU